rnacentral:tRNA from 1 species
AAGUCUGGCAGUGCGGACACGUCGAAUUGCAAACUCGAAGACGCCGAUUUCCUUCGGCCCGGACU